GACGAACGCUGGCGGCGUGCCUAAUACAUGCAAGUCGAACGCUUCUUUCCUCCCGAGUGCUUGCACUCAAUUGGAAAGAGGAGUGGCGGACGGGUGAGUAACACGUGGGUAACCUACCCAUCAGAGGGGGAUAACACUUGGAAACAGGUGCUAAUACCGCAUAACAGUUUAUGCCGCAUGGCAUAAGAGUGAAAGGCGCUUUCGGGUGUCGCUGAUGGAUGGACCCGCGGUGCAUUAGCUAGUUGGUGAGGUAACGGCUCACCAAGGCCACGAUGCAUAGCCGACCUGAGAGGGUGAUCGGCCACACUGGGACUGAGACACGGCCCAGACUCCUACGGGAGGCAGCAGUAGGGAAUCUUCGGCAAUGGACGAAAGUCUGACCGAGCAACGCCGCGUGAGUGAAGAAGGUUUUCGGAUCGUAAAACUCUGUUGUUAGAGAAGAACAAGGACGUUAGUAACUGGACGUCCCCUGACGGUAUCUAACCAGAAAGCCACGGCUAACUACGUG
rnacentral:rRNA from 1 species